GCCACUGCACCCCACUCUAGCCUGGGCGACAGAGCGGGACUCAGUCUCAAAAAAAAAAAAAGAAAAAGAAAAAAGAAAUCCUAAAGGGAGACCUUCAAGAUGAAAUGAAAGGACACUAGACAGUACCUCAAAGUCAUACAAAAAGAUAAAGAUCUCUGGUUAAGUGAAACUGGAAAUCAACAGCAGAAGAAAAAUUGAAAAAUUCACAAAUAUGUGGAAGUUAAACAACACAUGCUUAACAAAAGGGUUGAAGAAUAAUUCACAAGGGACGUUCGAAAAUAGCUUGAAGUAAAUGAAAACACACACCAAAACUUACAGGACGCAGCAAAAGUAAUGCUAAGAGGGAAAUGUAUAGCUGUAAAUGCUUACAUUAGAAAAGAAGAAAGGUCUAAAUCAACAAUUAACUUUUCACCUUAAGGAACUAAGAAAAGGAAAACCCCCCAGAGCUAGCCAGAGGAAGGAAACAACAAAUAUUAGAACAGAGAUGAGUAAGACAAAGAAUAGAAAAGCAACAGAGGCAAUCAGUGAAACCAAGAGUUGGUUCUUUGAAAAGAUCAAGAAAAUGGUGGAUAAAUAUUUAGCUAGAUUGACUAAGAGAAAAAAAAGAAGACUCAAAUAAUUAACAUCAAAAAAAA